rnacentral:rRNA from 1 species
UGGGGGAUAUUGCACAAUGGGCGAAAGCCUGAUGCAGCGACGCCGCGUGGGGGAUGAAGGCCUUCGGGUUGUAAACUUCUUUUGCUCUGAACAAGGCAUGCCUUUGGGGUGUGUUGAGUGUAGGGGUUGAUUAGCGCCGGCUAACUACGUGCCAGCAGCCGCGGUAAUACGUAGGGCGCGAGCGUUGUCCGGAAGUAUUGGGCGUAAAGGGCUUGUAGGUGGCUGGUUGCGUCUGUCGUGAAAGCUCAUGGCUUAACUGUGGGUUUGCGGUGGGUACGGGCUGGCUUGAGUGCAGUAGGGGAGGCUGGAAUUCCUGGUGUAGCCGUGGAAUGCGCAGAUAUCAGGAGGAAUACCGGUGGCGAAGGCGGGUCUCUGGGCUGUUACUGACGCUGAGGAGCGAAAGCGUGGGGAGCGAACAGG